rnacentral:lncRNA from 1 species
UCUCUGGUUCCUUACUGCACCGCUCAACUAGGUCAACGCAAGGUGAUCUCCGGGAGAGAGGCAGUGCUCUGAGCGCGCCACCUUUUACGUGUCGCGCCGUCGUCCCUCCUUCCCUCGCCCCGCACCCUCGCCUCGCCCUUUCGGACUGUCCGGGAACUGGUUCCCUCCAGCCGCCCUCACCUGUUCUGCCUCCCCCUGGAGGCAUAACAGUUAGAGAGAUCAGUCGUGGGAGAUUAGAUUUCUCGGCGUCAAACUUCCAUCUAGGCAACCGCCCUAGGCUGGAGCUGGCCUCUCAGUCGACCUUACCUUUGUUGGAGGGUGGUGGUGUGCGGGGGGGCAGGCGUGGAGAUUGUGAGGAACGGGAGAGGCGAGCUGAGAGAAGGGGCGAGAGGCUACAGUAACUUAGAAAAAGCAAUUGGAGGGGUCAAAGAAGGCGUAUUUGACAUUAGUGUUGCUAUAAAAACCUGUUUACUACUACUUCUCGUCCCCCGGACUUCUGUUUGGUCUGAGUGCAGCUCUCCUCUCGGAGACACUGAGUCAGUACAUUGCUGGUCUUGCCCUCUUUUGGAAAAAGAAAAUAGCCUUGAGGAUUCGUAGUCCCUAUCCAAACCUCCUGGGGCCUUUUAAACCAGGUGCCAAGCUGAAUUGUCCACCGCACCACCUUGCCCGCAGGAGGCAAGCUGUUUAGGGGAAGCAUGGCGUGUGCUGGGCGCUGACAGCGACUUCGUGUGACUCUGAAGGGCACGCUGGAAAGUUUCCUAGAUUGAAGCGUCUCCAUCACCUCCUGGCCAGCCCUCAGGAUGAAGUCCAAGUUCUCCACUAUAUGAUAAAAGAAAAUGAUGAUCAGAAAAGUUACAUGACUGGCCCAAGGUCACAAUAAAGAGUAAUCUUAUACUGAAUAGAAGAAAGGAAGUAAAUAGAGUUCCAGAAAGCAACCGUAAAACAUACCCAUUUUGAAAAAAUAUCCAAAGGAGACAUUUGUAAAGCAUCUGGCUCACAGAAUCAUUGAGAAGGCUGAAGAAAUAACCUCCAGAUUGAGCUUUCAAGAACAACCUUGAAAGCCAUAUACUGACUGGACCUCUGAGGGAAGGACUGCUCUUCAAUCCAGAGACCUCCAGGUAAACUGGGAAGCUGAGGUGCCAGCUACUGGCUCUGAGACCAAACCACCACUGCCAGA